CCAUGCACCGAAGCUGCGGCAGCGACACUAUGUGUUGUUGGGUAGGGGAGCGUUCUGUAAGCCUGUGAAGGUGGCCUGUGAGGGUUGCUGGAGGUAUCAGAAGUGCGAAUGCUGACAUAAGUAACGAUAAAGCGGGUGAAAAGCCCGCUCGCCGGAAGACCAAGGGUUCCUGUCCAACGUUAAUCGGGGCAGGGUGAGUCGACCCCUAAGGCGAGGCCGAAAGGCGUAGUCGAUGGGAAACAGGUUAAUAUUCCUGUACUUGGUGUUACUGCGAAGGGGGGACGGAGAAGGCUAUGUUGGCCGGGCGACGGUUGUCCCGGUUUAAGCGUGUAGGCUGGUUUUCCAGGCAAAUCCGGAAAAUCAAGGCUGAGGCGUGAU
rnacentral:rRNA from 1 species